rnacentral:lncRNA from 1 species
UUCAACGAUGGCAGUGUAAUGUAGCCUGGCCACUCAGCUACUGUAGAGACUUGGUGUGACUGCACGCUACAGUGAUUGCUGCACGCUACAGUACUGGCUGCACUCUACGAUGACAACUGUAAUUUGUGUCCUUUGUAUUAAGACAUGUCUCUUUCAUGUAGUAUUUUAGUUGUCCUUGUGUAUUGCUUUUAGCACGUUUGUGCAGUAGUAAUGUGAAAUGAAAUUUAACUUUA